GGGAUUAGCUACGAGAAAAAGAAGAGAAAGAGACCCCCACAGCAACAGCAACAGCAACAGAGUCCUGCAUUGUUGAUGGCGCUGCCACCAGCACCAGCACCAGCGACCACUAAUACAAGUGAUGAUCAUGAGUAAGUAUUAAAGUUACCACCCAUUUCAAUUAAAGAACAAGAAUGAGGAUAAAACUCAUCAGAAACUACUCUUUCAUAAUUUUAUUUGCCAUACGCAUGACUAUGAGCUAGUUCUCUUAUCUUGUUGCAUCAUGUGUGCGAUAUCUCUUGUUGGGUUGUGAGGAACUCUUUAGAUUGUUAGGUAAUGAACACGGAUUUAUAUUUUAUUAUAUUAUAUUAUUGGGUACAAUAUGUUAUAUUUUCUGUAGUUGUAGCAGUAGCAGUAAUAGUAGUGAUCAUGUUUGUGAUCACUAGUGAUCACAGAGAGGUAGCUGUUGAUGAACAUGUUUGUGACUUCACAUCCUAUUUGUCACGGAUAUGUAGCUGGAACCUGGAAAGAUCAUUUAUGACGAGCAAUAGAUUUGGAUAUCGUCUUGUGUGCCUUUUUUCUUCCCUCUGUUCUUUUCUUUCGUUUUCCUAUUUUGUUUAUAUAAUGGGUAUUGGCUAAU
rnacentral:misc_RNA from 1 species